rfam:Ensifer sp. Root278 contig_6, whole genome shotgun sequence.
UGCGGUCUGCGCUUCCCGACAGGAACCACAAUCCCCGGGGCCAUACUCGAUCUCAAGGGAGCCGUCCCUGUCCGGGCUCGUGGGUCUGGACACAUGGCGCCCACCUACUUUGUAGGUACCCGGGAUCGUAAACUAUCCAUCGGUUGUGUGGAUCGCAC